AAUCAACGCUGGCGGCGUGCCUCAGACAUGCAAGUCGAACGAUUAAAGCCCCCUUCGGGGAGUGCAUAGAGUGGCGCACGGGUGAGUAACACGUAAGUAAUCUACCCUCGAGUGGGGAAUAACAGUCGGAAACGACUGCUAAUACCGCAUAAUGCAGCGGCACCGCAAGGUGACAGUUGUUAAAGGAGCAAUCCGCUUGAGGAGGAGCUUGCGGCAGAUUAGCUAGUUGGUAAGGUAAUGGCUUACCAAGGCUACGAUCUGUAUCCGGUCUAAGAGGACGGUCGGACACACUGACACUGAAUAACGGGUCAGACUCCUACGGGAGGCAGCAGUCGGGAAUUUUGGGCAAUGGGCGAAAGCCUGACCCAGCAACGCCGCGUGAAGGAUGAAGUAUUUCGGUAUGUAAACUUCGAAAGAAUGGGAAGAAUAAAUGACGGUACCAUUUAUAAGCUCCGGCUAACUACGUGCCAGCCGCCGCCGUAACAC
rnacentral:rRNA from 1 species